UCCCUGGUGGCUCAGAGGUUAAAGCAUCUGCCUGCAAUGCUGGAGACUCGGGUUUGAUCCCUGGGUUGGGAA
rfam:Ovis aries breed Texel chromosome 10, whole genome shotgun sequence.